GCUUGCCAGGCCUAACGCGCCGCGGCUGUCCUCUGCGGGGAGCGAGCUGAGAGGCGCCGGGACCGCCGGGACCGCCCUGCCGCCAGCUGCCCCACCUGAAGGAGGCUGUGGAAAGUGAGACAGCAAAGGCAGCAUGGGGUAGCAAUGGAACGAGUUCAGGAAAGGAGAGCACGGACCUGAUACAGACACCUGUACCCCUCCUUACUGCAUGGCGCUACAACUUCUCUCUCGCUUUGCAAGAUCUAGAAAGCUGUAGUACACUCAAGUGCUCCAAAUCCAAGCCUCUUGCACAAGACAAUAGGGAAAAAAAAAGGAGGACUAAGAAGAGAAAUGCAUAAGAUUUGAAACCACUGAGGAAACUCAGAUUGUGGAUGGACAUGACAGAUCAAUACCUCCAGGAAACCUCCUUGUCUUCCAAGAGACGCUUGAGCUGUGCCUUGACACGGAUACUGAAGUCGAAGCAUAAUCUUGCCUAAGGCCUGUAAAUUCCAAGAAGAGGAUGAUUCAGCUCCUGAUAAGUGAUGAUUAACUCUUAACAUGUACUUAAUCUUGAAAAAUACACAGCAACUUCUUAAUAUGCUUCCCCCCUGCCUUGGUGGCUGUGAAGAGAGUGUGCCUACAUGCACGUAUCCUACUGCCAUUCUCCGCGGGAUUAAGUGGGCAACAACCAUCACGUGCUCAAACGUCCUGCACCAGCUGCUACUACGAGGACGAGAUACAACCACUACACCUGGCACAGAUUAGAAGAAAAACAGUGUUUUUCCUUGCAGUUUACCAGUGACCUGAUUCCUUAAAGAGCUAAGUCUGAAGUCUUCUUUUAAAUCUCAAUCUGAAGGAGAUGAGUGCAGCUGCCACUUCAGCAGUGCAAUCCUUUGACAGUCACAAGUUUAUUUAUAACUUUCACAUAAUAGCAGAGAUUUUCCAAGCUGUGACUCUAUGUAUUUGCCAGCUGUGCUACUCAUUAGCUACCAUGUAAAGCUUUACAUGAUUAGCUAUCAUGUAAAGUCUCACAUUAGCUAACUUAUUUGCUGAAGGUAACAAGGGACACUAGACACCUGGGUGGGCUCGACUGCUAACAAGAGCAUCGCUCCAGCCUGCUCAGCCUGGUUGCUGCAGCCAGAGUGUAGCUCUGAUUUCCUCCCUAUAUUUUAACUGUAUUUUAUUGACCAGCAUGUUACUUGGCAUUUUCUCCUCUGUCCUCAUUUCUGAAUUGCUCUUGGGUUUCAUCUCAUAUUUUCCUCCUUGAUGUCUCACAUGGCACUAA